rnacentral:rRNA from 1 species
CAGCCGCCACGGUAAUACGGAGGGAGCUAGCGUUGUUCGGAAUUACUGGGCGUAAAGCGCGCGUAGGCGGUUACUCAAGUCAGAGGUGAAAGCCCGGGGCUCAACCCCGGAACUGCCUUUGAAACUAGGUGACUAGAAUCUUCGAGAGGUCAGUGGAAUUCCGAGUGUAGAGGUGAAAUUCGUAGAUAUUCGGAAGAACACCAGUGGCGAAGGCGACUGACUGGACAAGUAUUGACGCUGAGGUGCGAAAGCGUGGGGAGCAAACAGGAUUAGAUACCCGAGUAGUCCCUGUCUCUUAUAC